rnacentral:rRNA from 1 species
CAGUAGCCGCGGGAAUACAGAGGGUGCGAGCGUUAAUCGGAUUUACUGGGCGUAAAGCGUGCGUAGGCGGCUUUUUAAGUCGGAUGUGAAAUCCCUGAGCUUAACUUAGGAAUUGCAUUCGAUACUGGGAAGCUAGAGUAUGGGAGAGGAUGGUAGAAUUCCAGGUGUAGCGUUGAAAUGCGUAGAGAUCUGGAGGAAUACCGAUGGCGAAGGCAGCCAUCUGGCCUAAUACUGACGCUGAGGUACGAAAGCAUGGGGAGCAAACAGGAUUAGAUACCCCAGUAGUCCCUGUCUCUUAUAC